rnacentral:rRNA from 1 species
GAUGAACGCUGGCGGCGUGCCUAAUACAUGCAAGUCGAGCGAACAGAUAAGGAGCUUGCUCCUUUGACGUUAGCGGCGGACGGGUGAGUAACACGUGGGUAACCUACCUAUAAGACUGGGAUAACUUCGGGAAACCGGAGCUAAUACCGGAUAACAUUUGGAACCGCAUGGUUCUAAAGUGAAAGAUGGUUUUGCUAUCACUUAUAGAUGGACCCGCGCCGUAUUAGCUAGUUGUUAAGGUAACGGCUUACCAAGGCAACGAUACGUAGCCGACCUGAGAGGGUGAUCGGCCACACUGGAACUGAGACACGGUCCAGACUCCUACGGGAGGCAGCAGUAGGGAAUCUUCCGCAAUGGGCGAAAGCCUGACGGAGCAACGCCGCGUGAGUGAUGAAGGGUUUCGGCUCGUAAAACUCUGUUAUUAGGGAAGAACAAACGUGUAAGUAACUGUGCACGUCUUGACGGUACCUAAUCAGAAAGCCACGGCUAACUACGUG